CACGGGGGGAGCGAACGUUGUUCGGAAUCACUGGGCGUAAAGGGCGUGUAGGCGGUUCGGUAAGUGGAAUGUGAAAUCCCCCGGCUUACCCGGGGAACUGCAUCCCAUACUGCUGGACUUGAGUGCGGGAGAGGAUGGAGGAAUUCCUGGUGUAGCGGUGAAAUGCGUAGAUAUCAGGAGGAACACCUGUGGCGAAGGCGGCGACCUGGGUCGAUACUGACGCUGAGGUGCGAAAGCGUGGGGAGCAAACAGG
rnacentral:rRNA from 1 species